UACGAAGGGGGCUAGCGUUGCUCGGAAUUACUGGGCGUAAAGGGAGCGUAGGCGGACAGUUUAGUCAGAGGUGAAAGCCCAGGGCUCAACCUUGGAAUUGCCUUUGAUACUGGCUGUCUUGAGUACGGGAGAGGUGUGUGGAACUCCGAGUGUAGAGGUGAAAUUCGUAGAUAUUCGGAAGAACACCAGUGGCGAAGGCGACACACUGGCCCGUUACUGACGCUGAGGCUCGAAAGCGUGGGGAGCGAACGGG
rnacentral:rRNA from 1 species